rnacentral:rRNA from 1 species
GACGAACGCUGGCGGCGUGCUUAACACAUGCAAGUCGAACGGAAAGGCCCUGCUUUUGUGGGGUGCUCGAGUGGCGAACGGGUGAGUAACACGUGAGUAACCUGCCCUUGACUUUCGGAUAACUUCAGGAAACUGGGGCUAAUAUCGGAUAGGAGCUCCUGCUGCAUGGUGGGGGUUGGAAAGUUUCGGCGGUUGGGGAUGGACUCGCGGCUUAUCCGCUUGUUGGUGGGGUAGUGGCUUACCAAGGCUUUGACGGGUAGCCGGCCUGAGAGGGUGACCGGCGACAUUGGGACUGAGAUAGGGCCCAGACUCCUACGGGAGGCAACAGUGGAGAAUAUUGCGCAAUGGGCGGAAGCCUGUUGCGGCAACGCUGCGUGCGGGAUGCCGGCUUUCGAGUUGUAAACCGCUGUCGACUUUGAUGUAGCGUUAGUGACGGUAAUGGGUAAAGAAGCACCGGCUAACUACGUG